UCAAAUGAUAAAUAUUUUAUUGCAUAUUAUUACGUGCUAAGCAAUACAGAUGGUUUGAUGCGGAUUAAAGAAAAAAAAAUGUGCUUGUGCGAAAUUGCUCAGUUUUCCAUACACGGUAGUUCUCGUAUUUUUAACCGCUGAUUUGAUGUAAAAUGUGACCGUGCACUACAUGUCUCCCAGCCUGUGCUUUUCCACUUCCAGCCGAUCCAUUCAACUGUUUCAAUGACCGUUGUGCCUGCAAUAAGAAAAAUUGAGAAGAGUGUUUACUUGUAAAUUUCAGAAUACGUUAUAACUGACCUUUAUAUCUAAUUGCCACCCAAUUAAACAACCUCUGUAUGCAGUUUAUCAGUGGUUUAUGGAACUUUGGCCUCUAAAAGGCUUGUGCAUAAUUCGCUGAGUUGACUGACUGGUAACUAUUCAAUAGUUGGGUAACCAUUCUCUGUACAUACAGUGAAGCAUUAUUCUUACUUAAGAGUUUCCAAAAUAGUCAAUAUUUAUCCUAUUUGGCAUGGUUAAUUUGAUUUCCUUAUUAUUAUUCUUUUCCGCCGCAAGGUCAAGGAUUUAGAAUUUACUGGACUAAACUAAUGAUGACAUAUCCU